AGACGGGGAACUCCACUGUGCUAAUGAUGUUGCGCACGUGCUCAAUCUGCAAUUUAAAAGGAGCCAUUUCGGACAAGGUCUCACAUUCACAUGUGCGGACCUCGGAUGGGAGAAAAAACUCCUGGAAAUCAUCAGCUACCAACUGGAGGCCAUCCUGCACCUCAGAGACUCCAAUGACCUGGAUCUCUUCAGAGACUGGUUUGGCAUCAAGAACCUAUAUUUAAUGGAACAACAUAAAUGUCUUAGGUGUGUGAUGGUCACAUCCAUGUCUAGUUGAAGAUCGGCUAAAGCCUCGUCCCGCCACAAGGACAAGUUAACGCUCUUACCGCCACAAUUGAGGAUUAAAUGUCUUUGCUAGCCAAGGCACACACUCAAUUUUCUUUACAAGCGGUGCUUGUAGGUUACGUAUUCUCCAGAUGAAUACAUCUCUGGUUCAGUCCCAGUGAAAACCUUUGAGGGUGGAACCAGGGCUUCAUCACCGAGCUUUUGGAGCUCUUCGGUAAUUGUUGUGGAUGACCCCUUGAAUAAUUUGGUGUUUGUAUUUACAAACAGACGUUUUCGGCCAGGAAUGGAGGAGAUGGCAUGGUUUUUCAAGACGUAAUGACAGCCCUCCUGAAACUCGUACUUGUUUGCACUUUGGGGGCUUGUAUACAUGCUACUGCCAUCCCAAAGUGCAUACAUGGUGGUAAUGGUUUCUGCCGAAACUUUAAUUUUUCCAUCUGCCACUUCAAAGGCAGUGCCCCGGCGAGAUGUUCUCGUGGAGAUGCACUGCACUCGAAUUCCUUGAGGGCGGUUGUAUGGAUGUCUUCCCCUUGAAGCCAUUCUACAGUACAUUGGACGCCGAUGCAUCAUUUUGAAUUUUAUUUGUACUUUUUUUGUUGAC